UCAGUCGACUCCUACGGGGAGGCAGCAGUGGGGGAAUAUUGCACAAUGGGCGCAAGCCUGAUGCAGCCAUGCCGCGUGUGUGAAGAAGGCCUUCGGGUUGUAAAGCACUUUCAGUCGUGAGGAAGGUGGUAGUGUUAAUAGCACUAUCAUUUGACGUUAGCGACAGAAGAAGCACCGGCUAACUCCGUGCCAGCAGCCGCGGUAAUACGGAGGGUGCGAGCGUUAAUCGGAAUUACUGGGCGUAAAGCGCAUGCAGGUGGUUUGUUAAGUCAGAUGUGAAAGCCCGGGGCUCAACCUCGGAAUAGCAUUUGAAACUGGCAGACUAGAGUACUGUAGAGGGGGGUAGGAAUUUCAGGUGUAGCGGUGAAAUGCGUAGAGAUCUGAAGGAAUACCGGUGGCGAAGGCGGCCCCCUGGACAGAUACUGACACUCAGAUGCGAAAGCGUGGGGAGCAAACAAGAUUAGAUACCCUGGUAG
rnacentral:rRNA from 1 species